UGGAAGAUUUUUAAGUAGAGUCAAAAGGAGAAGAAUACUCAGCACAAAAAUCCUGUUGCAUUUUUCAAUUAGGGUUUUUUUUUCCCUUCUCUCAACUAGAGAGAUGAUCUCUAGCUAACUUUGGUUCAUUUGGAGUGUUUAGAUUUUUUUAUCAUUAAUAACAUAAAAUGUGAGAAAUGGUAAGGAAGAUGCAGUUGAUAGCUUAUCAUUAAGCCAGGGGAAGGAUCCUUGGUUUCCUUACUGAUGACAAGGGAAUAAUGAAAUUUUCUAAUUGAUGAUGUUGCCAAGGAGACUGAUUACAUAGCAUGUUGGUUGCUUCGCAUAUGGUACUGGUCCACCAAAACAUGUUAUUUCUAUGUUAUUCUCAUCACACAAAGUGCUGGUAUCAAGAACAAUAAUGGACUUGGGAGAGAGAAGAACAGGGGAAAAGUUAGGAUAAGUAGUUUUAUGGAGUCUGCCACGGGAAACCCAUUGAUGGAUACGGAGAAACACAAUUUUGCUUAGACUUUAGAAUGAAACACUGGGUUGCCGAUUAUUAUAGAAAGAGUGGUCAUGCCACCUAAGAGAACCUUUUCAAGGUAAUAUGCCGAUAGACUUGGCAAAAACUACACAGAUUUAGAAUUCUGUCAAGGAAUAAAUGUGUUUUUAAAACUUGUCUGUUUAUGGAAAAGAAACAGAACUGUGGUAGACCAAGGGAAAUAAGAAGGUAUCAGGAUGCAUCGACCCAGGACUCAAUCUUCUUAAAGAAUAGGCAUCUAGCCCAUUCUUAAAAGGUGCUUUAGGAUGUGGUACAAUGGGUCGAGACAACAAUCUAGCCUUCCCAACACUGAUGUGAGAUCUGUCUUCUCUAUUCGCUUCUGGCCAAAAGAUCAAAACUUCUUGGUUAAACAAUGCCCCAGAGUAGCAGUAAAUGCGCGCUCUUCCACACCGAGUGUAAGGGGAAUCAAGAGGGAACAGUUUCACCAACUGUUUUCCAAGGUCAACUUCUCUGUUUCCAUAAGAGUAAUGUGUUCUCCUUGACAAAUAAUGUAAUACUUCUGCACUGAAAUAUGGGCAGCCUGAUAUGGAAUUCUUUCUUGAGUAAUGAUAUAAGCCCAUGUUAUCUUUCUUGUCAGUAGCGCUGUGUAUGGACAUUUAAGAAGCAAUGUUAGCAUUGAUAUUGUUCAUGGAGAAACAUGUAUUACUGGUUGUUUUCUUCAUUUUCCAUUCAACAUCUCUACUAAAUAUGCAGCAUUUCUCCAUAUUGCAAUUGUUAGACAGGAAAAAGUGUCUCCUUUUUUCCUUCAGCUGAUUAUUUGCUUCCCAGCCUCAAAGCAAGUAUCUCUAAUGCUCUUUAGUUGGGCACCAAGGAGCUCCACUUGCUUCGCUCUCAGAAUGGAAAAGUAGGAAUGGAAAAGUGAUGGUGUUUUCUGAUACUUUGUUGUUGUUGUUUUGGAAAAAUUACUCCUUUGAGUGUUUAUUGUUGUUUUGUAUUUUUGUUGUUGUUUCUUUGUUUUCAGUGCCAGUGAUCACACUCAGAGCCUUACCUCGCUAGGCAAGUGCUACCACCAAGCUACAUCCUCCUCCACAAGGAGAAUAAUUACUUUCACUGUCACAUGGCUCCUACUUAAAUUUUUACUGGCACUAAGUAUCAGUUUCAAAAACCACUGCUUCUUCUCUAAGACGAACAGCAGAACUGUUCUGUACCACGUGUACCACGAUGAAUUCAGAUGUUUUCUGGCUACGUUUCUCUUCCUACUUUUGUUAAGAAAGGCCUAGAAAAGCCCAAGAACUUGCUUAGACCUUGGCCAUCAAGGUGUGAUUGAUGGUGCAAGACAGAACAGCACAGGCUAUCUUAUAAUCCAGGAUGCAGGUAAGGAAUCUAGAUGUCACAGUGCCCAUUGUAAUCUCAGUUCUUGGGAUACAGAGAAAAACAGAUCUCUGGAGUUUUCUAGGCAACAAGCCUAUCCUACUUAGUGAAAUCCAGGCCAAUGAGAGAUCUUGUCUCUGUUCAUAAAACAAGGUGGAUAAUGACCUCUGGCUUCUGUACAUGCAUACACACCUCCCUUUCCUCCAUUCCUCACACGAGAAAACCUCUACUUAUUUAAUGGACAUUUAAAGUAAAAGGACUGAGCAUUACGGUACAGAACUGUAAUUAUAGGCAGUUAGAAGACAGGGACUAUAAAUGGACUUCUUCUUGGGCCACAGAGUGCGUUCAAGGCCAGCCUGGAUAAUACAGUAAAAUCCUCAGCUCAAUAUAAAAAGCU
rnacentral:lncRNA from 1 species